CUGGGUGGCUCAGCCCUUUAUUUUUGAAAGGUAUUUCCUAUGAAUCCAGUAGUCCCCCUCCCCCUUAUCUGUGAUUUCCCUUUCCACAGUUUUAGUUACUUGUGGUCCACCAUGAUCCAGAAGCAGAUGAUUCUCCUUCUUUUUUUUUUUUUAAUUUAAUUUAAUUUAAUUUUUUAUUUUUUUUUAAAGAUUUUAUUUAUUUAUUUGACAAUCCCUUUCUGCUUUUCCACGUCCCUGCACACUGCUCCCAUUGUCCACACUGUUGUCCAAAUGCUCACCACUCUCUUCAAGCAGAUCCACAUCAUAUGCCAU